rnacentral:tRNA from 1 species
GGGGGUAUAGCUCAGUUGGUAGAGUGCUUGCCUAGCAUGCACUGGGUUCAAUUCCCAGUGCCACAA